GGAUUUUCUAUAGAAUCAAACUAAAAAUUCUAAAAAUUCCUAAGUUUGAUUAUCGAAAACUAUUAUUUCAAUAGUUGGAGUGGCUACUGCCCUCCGAAGGUAUUUGAGGUUUAGGACUUUAGCAAUCGAAGCUGCUUCUAUCUAUCUUAUUUUUCUUUUUAUUUCAAGGCUCCAAAACUUGUUUUUAGGCAGUAGAUGGACCUAGAAUAAACUCUAUGAUGU
rnacentral:misc_RNA from 1 species